rnacentral:rRNA from 1 species
UACGUAGGGUCCGAGCGUUGUCCGGAAUUACUGGGCGUAAAGAGCUCGUAGGUGGUUUGUCGCGUUGUUCGUGAAAACUCACAGCUUAACUGUGGGCGUGCGGGCGAUACGGGCAGACUGGAGUACUGCAGGGGAGACUGGAAUUCCUGGUGUAGCGGUGGAAUGCGCAGAUAUCAGGAGGAACACCGGUGGCGAAGGCGGGUCUCUGGGGCAGUAACUGACGCUGAGGAGCGAAAGCGUGGGGAGCAAACAGG